UUAUGUUGUAUUUACAGCUGGCCAAUACAUGGACGAUUUUUCAUCUGCAAAAACUGUCGAUUUCUAAAGUGGUUCUUUCUCAAAGAAGAGAAGCAACAGAAAACUUAAUAACCAGCGCAAAUAUACAUAACUAUGCAAUGCAUUAUCUAUUUUAACUAUUCGAAAAUGCUGAUACAUUUGACGGCAUUUUUUUUUGGUAUUGUAGUAUGUCUCUGUACAAGGUUUAAAAAUCUUUAUAGUAAUGCGGUAAAUUGAACUUUGUCAGUCUGAAUCGUUAUAUAUGCUUUCCUUUGAGAUACAUUUAAAACAUUUGAAACUGUUUA